rnacentral:rRNA from 1 species
CCCUCGUCCACUUCCCUGGCAUAGCCGCCGCUCGUCCUCCUCUCCCCCUCGUUCCUCACGACCGCUGAUGUGCCUCCCUCCUCCUUCCCAUGGAAUCUCCAUCGGCCCUUCCUCGUGCUCAAGAUGUGGAGGGGCAACAGGUGACGGUGGAGGAGAAGAUCCACGACCAGCUGCCGCCGGUCAUCCUCCUACCGCGCCGACCCGCGUAUCCUCUCCCUCUCCUCGCGCCGCCGCCGGCCCCCGAUCCCGUGCCUCCAGCCCUGGUUCGAGUGCGCGGCGCCCUUCGGCGUCGACGAUCGACAGGGCGAGAUGGCGCCCGCCGCCAGUCCCCAAUCCCGCGCCUCCCGCCCCUGCUUCGCGCAUGCGACGAAACAACUGUUGGUGUGGUAGCGGCCUUCGGCGACGAGGAGGCCCAGGGCGACACGACCUGCGGUGGCGUUGGUGCUCCCCAGUGCAACCACUCCGAUGACUGCCAGAUCCGUUGUUCUUGUGGUCGUUGGGCUGGAUUGGUUGUCGCACUCAUCGGUCUAUGG